AUUAUUUGCCGAAUCAUUGAAUGCUCAGUUUCUUUGUAUUGAGUAUUAUGAUUCUUUCUCUUUGUAUAGGAAGAUCUGAUGC
rnacentral:ncRNA from 9 species